UUCUGGUUGAUCCCGCCAGACCUGACUGCUAUCGGAUUGAUACUAAGCCAUGCGAGUCUUUGUAGUAAUACAAGGCAGACGGCUCAGUAACACGUAGUCAACCUACCCUAUGGACGAGAAUAAUCUCGGGAAACUGAGCAUAAUUCUUGAUAGAUCAUAAUGCCUGGAAUGGUUUAUGGUUAAAAUGAUUCGUCGCCAUAGGAUGGGACUGCGGCCUAUCAGCUUGUUGGUGAGGUAAUGGCCCACCAAGGCGAUUACAGGUACGGGCUCUGAGAGGAGAAGCCCGGAGAUGGGUACUGAGACACGGACCCAGGCCCUAUGGGGCGCAGCAGGCGAGAAAACUUUGCAAUGUGCGAAAGCACGACAAGGUUAAUCCGAGUGAUUUCUGCUAAAGAAAUCUUUUGCCAGUCGUAAAACCGCUGGUGAAUAAGGGGUGGGCAAGUUCUGGUGCCAGCAGCCGCGGUAAU
rnacentral:rRNA from 1 species